rnacentral:lncRNA from 1 species
GGUGUGUAGAUGUAAGUAUUGAGAGAGUAAUUACCGUGAUAGAGAUAUCUAAUAGUGGUAUGGAGGAGGAGGAGAUUUGUAGAGGUAAGGAUGGUGUGGUGGAGAGUAGUGGUGUACUGGAGGAGGAGGAGGUGAUUUGUACACGUACUUUUCCUUUGGUGGUGGUGGAGAGUGGUAAACCGGAGGAGGAGAGUAGUGCUUAACCGGAGGAGGAGGGGACUUGUAUACGUAAUGUUUCUUUGGUGGUGGUGGGGAAUGGUAGACUGGAGGGGGAGAGUAGUGCUUAACCGGAGGAGGAGGGGACUUGUAUACGUAAUGUUUCUUUGGUGGUGGUGGGGAAUGGUAAACUGGAGGGGGAGAGUAGUGCUUCACCGGUGGUGGUGGAGAUUUGUACACGUAGUGUUUCUUUGGUGGGGGUGGGGAAUGGUAAACCGGAGGAGGAGAGUAGUGCUUAACUGGAGGAGGAGGAGAUUUGUACACGUAGUGUUUCUUUGGUGGUGGUGGGGAAUGGUAAACCGGAGGAGGAGAGUAGUGCUUAACCGGAGGAGGAGGAGAUUUGUACACGUAGUGUUUCUUUGGGGGUGGUGGGGAAUGGUAAACCGGAGGAGGUGAGUAGUGCUUCACCGGUGGUGGUGGAGAUUUGUAGACGUAAUGCUUUUUAGGUGGGGGUGGGGAAUGGUAAACCGGAGGGGGAGAGUAGUGCUUAACCGGAGGAGGAGGAGACUUGUAAACGUAAUGUUUUUUUGGUGGUGGUGGUGAGUGGUAAACCGGAGGGGGAGAGUAGUGCUUAACCGGAGGAGGAGGAGACUUGUAUACGUAAUGUUUCUUUGGUGGUGGUGGUGAGUGGUAAACCGGUGGGGGAGAGUAGUGCUUGACUGGAGGAGGGGGAGAUUUGUACACGUAGUGCUUCUUGGGUGGUGGUGGAGAGUGGUAAACCGGAGGAGGAGAGUAGUGCUUAACCGGAGGAGGGGGAGAUUUGUAAACGUAGUGCUUCUUUGGUGGUGGUGGGGAGUGAUAAACCGGUGGGGGAGAGUAGUGCUUGACCGGAGGAGGAGGAGAUUUGUACACGUAGUGUUUCUUUGGUGGGGGUGGGGAAUGGUAAACCGGAGGAGGUGAGUAGUGCUUAACCGGUGGAGGUGGAGAUUUGUAUUCGUAGUGCUUCUUAGGUGGUGGUGGGGAGUGGUAUACCGGUGGAGGAGAGUAGUGUUUAACCGGAGGAGUGUAAUGUUUAACCGGUGGUGGAGGAGAAGAAUAGAAAUAGUUAGCGGUUGAUUGAGAUACAAAGGUGAGAGAGAUUGUUAAGACAAGCAAAGUUGCCACUAAAGAGGCCAUUGGAGACCCCAUUGGUUGUUUUGUUUUUGGUUUGUGAUUUAGUGCCUUCCCUUCACACCCUUUAAAUAGCUUUUUCAGUUUCACUAUUUUCACACUCGUUGUAAAAUGGUAACUUACGUCAUGUAAAAAGUACAUGCAAUUAUGUACACCAAACAUAUAUAAAUAUUAGUAUAUAGAAAGAAGUGAUGUUUGUUGGUCUCUCCGACUCUCAUUAUUAAACUUUUUUCUUCAGCCAUCGAUGAUUGACAUGUUCUCCAUGUUCGAACAACGUAUCGAAUCUCGUGAUUUUUCAAAAUAUAACGUUAGAUCUAACGUAUGUUUUCUAAAUCUCGCGAUUUUUGUUAUGUCCCUUUUGAUAAUACUCACUUUUUUUUGUGUGUGAAAAUUCACUUUAGAACAAUAAUACAAUGUCCCAAAAGCUAAGAAAGUAGUAAUUGUAAUUGUAGAACGUUGUAAGAGAAAAUAUGUUGAUGGCCUCUUGAGUUUUUCUUUUUCCGGUAAAGAAGAUAUAUAUGGCCUCUAAGUUAAAAGGGGAAACAUGAGAAAAUCAUUUCUGACUACGUUAAAUGUAAAACAUGACUCUAAACACACAAGAUUAAUACUUUACUUUUUCUUUCAAAUUUAGAAAUAACAAAACCAUAUCAGAAAUUAUGUACACAGCCGUAUAUAGGUUUGUGGUUAUAGAUUAGAUGUUUGUCGAUAUUUGAUCCAUUAAUAUGUGUAAGUCGAACUAUAACCAGCGAAUGUAAUGUCAUAACAUGGUCCAAAUUAUUAAUUUGGAAUUUAUUUAUCUUAUAUUUUACUUAACAAAGUUACUAAAUUUUAGUCCGCUUUUAUCUUUCUAUUUUUGGUUACAUGCAUCUUUUCAUUUUGUGUUAAAGUACAUACAUCCUUUUUUCUCCGAUGAUACUUUCUUCUUGGCUCCUUAUACAAGUCCUUAUGAAUAAUGGGAAACGAAUAACAUUGCCUUUGACACUUUUAGAAAAAGCAUUUGCAAUAUUCAUUUUGAGAACCAAAUAAAAGUUAUGUUCAAAUUCUUUCUUUCUUUCUUUUUUCCAGUUUUGUAAUCUUAAGUUUGAGCAUGAUCUGCCUAAUGCAUAAGUGAUUCUCGGCAAUGUAAUGGACCAACCACAGAUAUUUUCAUAGAUAGAGAUGUGAAUAUAUAUAGAUCAAUAAUCAGAAACAGCUAAAUAUAGCUAAACAACUUAUUUUCGAUAUCUCACCUACUUCCUACGUACUGGUCAAAGAUGCUUACCACAUCCAUUCUUUUACUCGUUCAUUACAAAUGUAAUCAAAUCCAAUAUUCAUUACAGAACUUAUCAAUUCAAUGUAAAAUAUUCAUCUUUAAUCUAAAUGCUCUAUCCCAACAUUAUUGCAGUUAAUGCAUAUUAGAUACAGCAAAUUUAUUAUCGAGCAUAAAACUCUAUAAUAUAGUUUUGAGUUAUUACCUAGAAGAUUCAGUUCCGGAUAAUAUUGUUUUUCAUCUAGUGAACCUAGAUCGACUAAUAAUAAACCUAUAUAAACCCCAAUUAAGUAACAUGUUCAUCGAAACUUUGCAUUUACUUCAUUUUUUUUAUAGUCGAUUAUAUUUUUCUUCUUCAACAAAAGACACUUAUAUAUGUAAUUUUUAAUUUUCUAGUCAAUACAUUUUCUCCAAAUAAAAUAGGGUUUUGUUUACGGAGAAUACUUUUUAAAAAAGAAAGAGUAUAUGAACGCGUUGACUUACGGCGGCCGAGUUAGAAGUGGAAGGAACAAAAGAGAGAAGGUGGUCCGUCAUACAUCCGAAUACCGCUCCUAAAGGUGACACUGCCAACGUGACAGUGAUUGUUCGAUCUUCGAUUUGGUGUUUUGCCUCACAUUUUCUUUGUUUAACCUUAGAACACGUUUCUUGUCCUCUCUAUUAUUCUUUUUUAAUUACAUACGCUGUCAAUUAUCAAGAGAUAAGAAAACGUUAAUAUGAUUUAACUAAUUAACAAGGUAGAUGAAUUAUCACGACCGGACUUUUCUGACUGAAUAUAAGGAUGAUAAAUGUUCAUUAUUUGUUUUUUGUUUUCUUUUUCGGUGCACUGGAUUCUUCAUUUCAAUUAUAGACUAUUGUACAUCUUCAUCUUCUAUCAAAAUAAACAAAUAAAUCAAUAAAAGAAGCUUGGUCAAGAGUCAAGAUAGAUUUUCGAUAAUUGAAUUUUAUUCAUUUUCAUCGAACUGGAUAAGUAACCAGCUGGAUUAAGACUUAGACAAAUUAACAACUUCGCAUAAUUUUUUAACACAUUCUUGAAAGCUGACUUUGUUGGUGAGACGUCAACAAAUUGCAAGAAUAAUCACCGUCAUACCGAUUUGGUCAUUUGUAAUAAAGUAACACGACAAUAGUUACCUUUGAUGAUAAUAAUUACAGAAUUAUAGAUAUUUAGAUUCCUUUAGUAAAAUAUAGCUCAUAUCUGAUCCACUUCGAAAGAUGAUAGCCUUAAAGUAAAUAUUGGUAUACAUUUGAGUUUGACUAGAUAACAAUUCCAUAAGACCAAUAAAGAUUUUACGAUAUUGAAUAGAUUUUUAUGCGCUUAUUAUUUUAAAUAUAUUAGAAAUAUACAUAAUUGGUGUUUGCUUUCAUUUAGAAUGUUAAAUUACAUGCAUGGUUUUAACUUUUAUCUUCACGAAUAUACGGAUUAAUUACGGUAUAGAUUAGAACCUCGUGAUAAUCAAAAAGGAAAAAUAUAUAGAGGGGGUAUUAUUUGACCACUCUUUGACGUGUUAGAUACUUUCUAAGAAUAUAUUUUUAAAAAAAUUAUUUUUCUUAGAUCUAUCGUUAUAUAUUAAUCUCAUAGUAACAAUUCUUCUGCUAUAUGAUUUUUCAAACAGAAAAAAAAUAUGUCUAAAAAAAGUUAUCCUUUGUAGUUUGAAUACUAGCAUUUCUUAAACACAAAUUAACUUUUCGAGCAGAAUUCCAAAUAGAACGUUAGUCAAAUUCUAAACUAGUUUUCGAGAUCUACAAAACUUUCAUCUUUUUUGUGUGGUCAAUGAUUUUUUACAUAGAAUGAUAAAAAAGAGUAUAUGAAUUCAUGAAAUGAUCAUCACUAACUUACCAUACCUUUGUUUUUUUUGAUAAAUUGAUAUAUUCAGUCUAAUAGACUCGAUUGACGACAAAAGAAAGACUUGUAUAUAAUAAAUAUGCGAUAUUAGAUUGUAACUGCAUGAUAGAUCAAUGAGUCAUAAGCAACAUGGCCUCCUUGUUCGAUACAUUUUUCUAAACAUAUUCGAUCCCUAAGCUACUAGCUACGUGUAAUUUUGCUAUAUAAAAAUAUUCAGCAUAAAAUUAAAAAAAUAGCUCAUCACUUCAGAUGAUAUGAAAAAGAAAGACUACACGUCGAUAAUCAAUCUAGACAAUAAUAAAGAUAUUUGUGACUAUUUCCUGGAAACACGUACAUAAACGUUAUUUGUCGUAAGAUACAGUUUUGUCGGGUCGCCGAAUGUGUCCCAAUAUGCAGUCUAUAAUCAAUAUGUGUCUAUUACAGACGAUUAGUUCGACUGUAAUUUCAUAUGGAUUUACAACUUUUUUUAAGAAUAUGAUUGGUAGCGGAAAAAAAUAUAUAUGAUUGGUAAAAAAAUAAAGUUUAUAAAAUUUUAAUUAACAGAAUUCCAAUAUAUAUUGAAGUGUUAAGAUUUUUGCUAAAUAAAUAAUUAGCAUCUAUACUAAUAAGAUAAGAAGAAUAAUAAUGAGGUUUAUAUAUUUACUUUUUAGGAAUUUUGAAAAUUUUCAAUAAUUUAUCUUAAAACUUUGUAGAUGGAGUUUGAGUUAUAUACUGUAUAUUUGAAUUACUGGGAGUCUGGGACAGAGCUACAGAAUUAUAAUAUAUAUUUUGCUUUAACAGAAAUUUUUGAAAUUACGGACCUAUCAUAUGUUACCAAUAAUCGUUAGAUUCGAACUUCCAUGUGGGAAUUAAAUUGAGACUACCAAACUUGUUUGAACAAAAAGAUUUCUUUUAAGAACUAAUCUAGAAUCCUAGAUUUUAAAUUAGCCUUUUGUGGACGUUUUCGCUAUAAAAAAUAAUAUGAUCAAAAUAAUUCGCAACUAAAAAUAAUUCACGACUUAUAAGAAGAAUCCCAUUCAAAAACACUAAUCAUCUCCUAAUUUUAAUUUGUUGAACUCUUUUAUUCUUUUUACAACAAAAACAUAAGAAGGAAAUCUACUGCUAAAAGCCUAAAACCAAAAAAAAAAAAAAAUAAAGAAAAAAGAAAAACAGAAAAACACUCCCUCUAUAACCAAUAUUGUACGACUUAAUUUUUUCACAAUUUCUUAAAUUCAUUAUACCGACAAACUAUCUCACGGUAAUAUCUGGAUUAUUAUUUUGUCCGUCUUUAUGGAAAGCGUUAGGAGAAGUUUGUUGAUUUUAUUCUUCAACAAAAAAAAACGUUUGUUGAUUUUAUAGUUGAUUUAUGGGACCAGCAGGCGGCUUGGCUGAUAUAUACGUCUUCGUUUUCUUUUUUUCUAGUUAGAUUUUAUGUGAUGUGAAAUUUUUUAAUUUGAAAAGAUAUAAAUAUUUUGACAUCAACAUACAAAAUGAUUAUUAUUUUAUAACAUAAUUAGCUCUUUUCUCUUAUUCCAUGGAGGAUUUAGUGACAUAUGUACACUUGGAAAAGUCACUGGUUAAUACUGUAGUAAUUUAGUAAGAAUUCUAUAAGAAGUAGAAAAUAUCUUCGAAAUAUUCUGCCGACAUAUCCUUAAAUUUAAGUUUUCACUACUUCUCCUAUUACGAUAAAAACUUAUAUAUAUAGACGUACGUUCAAAUAUCUCCCAUGUGAAAUUUCAAGUGUGUUUUUAUCCCAAAAAAAAUCAUGUGUACAAGAUAAAAAUACUAUGUAUAUUCAUCCGUACAAAAAUAACUUGUUAUUAUAAUUAUGUUAAUUUGUUUACAUUAUUUAUUUACUCUAUAUAUUUCCAAAAAAAAAAUGUUGAAAUUCAAACGCCACUAUUUUAGAAAUGAUUAAUAAGAAUUAUCCGAAAACAGAUUUAUUAUGAAAAUGGAAAAGAGGUAGAAAUUAAUUUUGAUCACGAUAAAGAUAUUCAUGAAAACCUAGUCAAUGAGAAAUUUAAUAUACUAACAUCCUUUAUAUACUAAUAAAGUAAUAAGUAAUAAUACUCAUCGAUCCGAACUACUGUACUUGUAAAACAAGUCCAACAAAAAAACAAGUAAUUCAGGUCAUCAAAUCUAACAAACUUCCCAUAACCGGACUAAACCAACAUUCUAUAGGCUCCCUUGAUUCAAGACACGUCUGUUUCCACUAAACCCUCACAUACGAGAAAUCUUACAUCAACAAACAUACUUGAUACUUCCCCAGCUAGCUCCAAAACCCACGGCGGCACGUCGGCACCAAGGUCCAUCGUCUACUUUUCUUGCAAUAAUUCACAGUAGGAGCUAAAGAAAUGUCACUGUGUCCACGAUUAUCACCAUUUGACCACAAAUUUUGUUCGCUAUUCAUAUGUUUCAAUAAAAUAAAAAUAUUACUAGUAGAUACUAAAGAAAGAGACAACGAAGUAUAACAAAUAUUUACUUUUUAUAAUUUCAGCUAGAUUUGUCUUUUGCUAGUAAAGAAGUCAGGUCCGAUACAGUGUGAAUGAACUGCAUGUGACCUGUGGGCGUCAGAAAAUGCUGGGGUAAAAACAUCAUUUCGUCAAUCGUCGUAGCAGAAAAUAUCUAUAACAGUGGUAUAAUAGCUACUUAUACGUAUUUGAUCAAAAAAAAAAAGACUACUAAUACGUAUGACCACUCCUAUUAUUAAAUCUAUUAAAUACUACUAUACGUAUUUCAUAACUGCUUGUUCUUCGUAAAUGACCACUCUCCUUUAAUUAUUUAUCAUAGUGCUAUAACAAAUUAAUUCAUAGUAUGUAACGGUGAAUUGAUAAACCAGCUACUACGAAUUAAUUUAGAAAAUAUGAAAUUUCACAAUAUGACAAAUGUAGAUGUCAUUGUUUCCAGGAGAGUUCUAAAAUACAAGAGUGUCCAAACAAACACAGUGAAGAAAGUAGUUAAGAGGAUAUUUUCCAGUGUAAGAUCUCUUGGAAUCACGCUAAUCUGUGAUUGAUUUUAUAUCUACAAUCGUACUUAAAAAAAUAUAGUGUUUUUUUUUAAUUAGGUGUAAUGUAGAACAGAGACUUUCAGAUCCACUUGAAUCAAUAUUGUAUAAAAUGUACUAAUCUAAUUGUUGUUUAACAACUUGUCUCUAUUUCCUCAAUCAUGAUUCAUAACCCGAUCGGUCUCCUAAACAUUAGUCUUGUUUGAGCCAAGAAUAUCUUCAAAAUAAUGCUGUAUUUAAAUAAGUCAUUAAAUUAUUAUCAUUGUAAGGAAUCAAUUAUUUAAAGCCACCUCUCAAUUAUUUAACAUAGUAGUAAAUUAAUUAUUUAAAGCCACCUCUCAAUUGAUUAACACUAUUUUAGUUUCCAAACCAGUGGCUAAAAAGCAAUACCUUGUUGGGGCAAAAUGUAUUUAACUAUUCAUUUCAUUUUAUUUCAAUUUUUUGCAGUAUAUAUAUGUAAUAUGUGUGUAUACGAGUCUGAUCGAGUACGUCAGCGAUUCAUGAAUACCAUUUAAUUGACAUAGGACAAAAGGUUACUUCUGAUUCACCAUUUACUAUUCUCAUCAUUCUCUUCUUUUUUGGGUUCAAAUUCUCAUCAUCGUCUAUUCCUCUUCAUCAUAACUCUCUCUUGAAUGUUAUUUCCAUCUGUAUAAAUACAAACUUACAUGAAUUAGUAACGUAUUAUUGUUUUCUAUAGCUAUUCUAGAUAGGGGACGUAAAGAGAAAAAAAGAUAGGGGACGUACUUUUUGUUGACGUUAUAGAGGACGUACUUUUUUUUACCCUGUUGUUUUUGUUUUGUUUUGUUAAAGGCUUCACGGCUUUACCCAAUUUCAAUAAUUCACAAAGACAUGUGCAAUAUGAUCAGUUUAUUACAAAAUUACAUCUUGUCUCAAAAGUCGCAAUCUACUGCUUCGUAAAAGAUGGAUAAAACAAAAGAGGAAAAGAUUGAUUUGUACAUUGCCUACUAACUUAUUUAACGUGGCCAGAAGCAUGAAGUUUCUUGAAUUAUGCAUGCACAUAAAAGCCAAAACAAAAACAAAAAAAUCUAAAGUCGGACGCGAAAAAAAGCAUCUGCUCUCUUUGGAUAUCGAAUAUACUCACCUCUCUUCAUCGCCGAUCCCAUCAGUGUUGACAUGUUUGGUCAACCAAAUAAAUUUGUAGUGUCACUGAUUUCUUAUCUUUUUGUAAAUUUUCUACAUUGAUUUGCUUUUUGAUAUAAAGUUCUAACUUUUUUAAAAGUAUCAUAUUACGAGGAAGCUAAAGCAACUACAAGCUCUAGAAGAUUGUAACUUUUCUUUGAAAGUAAAAGCACUCAUGGUUUUUAAUUGCUAACAAUAUACACUUACGAUAGGCAAAUCCUCACACUAGGGAUUAUAUGAGCCACUGUUUUGGAUUCUGUCCCAAAAAUAUAAAUGAACAAAUACAACUACGUACUGAUCCCUGAGUACACUAUUGAAGUCCCAUUUCCGUAUAAUUCCCACAUAGAAAAUAAAAGAUUGUGACAAAAAUUUCUGUCUUUGAUAGAUAACAGUAAUAAGAUGAUGCACUAAAUCUAUCCACGAGAUGGAAAGAAAAAUUAAGUGAAAGAGAAAGACUUUAGGUUCGAAUCACUUCAUCUCCGUGGUGUCUCUCCAUACAUCUCUGUUUCUUUGAGUGAAACUACUCCUAAGGAUUUGAGCAUAUGAUCAAGUGUAUUUGGGUUCAUGUAGAAUCUAGUUGCAGGAGGGAACAUGGAAGCACGAAACAAUAAGUCACCAUUUGGUCGAUGGGCCUCAAAUGUCACCUACUGAUCACCUUCUUCCUCCACGCUGUCCUGGUCUUGGACCUGGGUUUCUGAAAAAUUGGAGCCGCAAAAUCUUGGAAUCGGGUUCGUCUUCAUCCAUUCGAUAGUCUGUCAAAUAUAAAGUUGUAUCAGUUAAACCAGCGGACGAGUGUUGGCUUGCAUCGGACAAAAUCAAACUUUGAUACAGUAUAUGUUCUAGCAUAGUGUUUAUAACUGAAAUGAAGAUAGUAAUAUCAAGAAACCAAUGCAAAACAAACUCAAUAUGUGUUGGAACAAAUAUUAGCAAUCCCCAAAGUAGAGAGAAUCUCGGUUACCUUGCAAAGCGCUCAGAGCAGUUGCUGCACAGGCAGAGUUUUCAAAAUCAACAAAACACAGAACAGUAGGAUCUCCACUCCUCUGCAUAAAACCCCUUAGAAAGUCAAUAUUAAUGAAAUUAUGGGACUGAGUGUUUUCAUUUUCAACAAUUCUUCAAAUUGGAACCAGUGAAUCUUACGUGUUUUGAAUCUUGGGUCACAAGUCUUACUUCUCUAUAUCCCACAAAAGGCCGAAAUAUAUCUAGACUUCAGUUAAGGACAAUGAAUAGCUCAAACAUUCUUAAGUGAGGAAAUUAAUAAUUGUAAUGAGUCAUUAGGUAGGAUACGGGAUACUUCCCUUCUUGAGCAAUUAGAAGGAAGUCCUUCAACAUACAGAGUGUUGGAUACAUCUGGAGGUAGAGGAUGUGGUUCCCGGCCUGGCCUACCAACUGAAUCCAGCUGACCAAAACCCAUAUCCCGACCAUUUGGCCUGAAAUCUGAAGGCAAACUCCCACCACACCCAGCCAUGAGCUCACCCAUGGACGGACCAGGCAUCAUGUUGGAACCUCCUUGUCGUACCAUGCCAACACCAUUAAAUGGACCAGCUUCUUCAGAUGGCACAAAAAACGUUUGCUACAAAACAGGGAAAAGGUUUCAGUACACUGAAGAAAGAAGAGAAAAAAAACGAAGAAGAGACCACGUGAAUAAGGAUUAUACCAUACUCUGCAGGUAGCGGUCAUAAGCUGAUCCAAUACUUCUAGUAUCCUUUACUGAAUGGGGGAUACCUCGAUCCUCAUCCUGUGAUAAAUAACUGUGCAUAUCACCUGAAGGAAUCAAAUAUGGUGUACCUUCUACAAAGAGAAAAAUAAGACAAUUCAAAAUCACACAUUGAUAGGUAUGGCAAUAUAUAAACCAGUGGACCUCAUGACACACGAAAAAGAAGUACACAAGAUACAUAAUCUGCAACUAUAAAUCAGUGAUAAUCUGUUCCAGCAUUGAUGGUCAAACACUCAAACCUCUUUAACGUAGCAUCAUAUUUAGUAAGAGACGAAAUGAAGGAGGGACAAAUAAGACAAUUCAAACUCACACACACAACUUUAGAUUCAUGUGAUGAGCACAUAGCAGUUAAGGAGGGACAAGAUUCAUUGAACAUAAACUUUAAAGUAUAUGUGGGAAGCCCACCAAACAAGAAUACACAUAUCAUCAAAUUGCCAAAUUGAUGUAAACAAAUGACGCAAUCAUCACGAAAUGCAUAAGUAGAAACCCUCUAACUGCAUCGGAGUGUCUCCAAAAAAAUGAUGAAAAAACGUAAAACAUAUCCUCUCUUUUUUCCUAACACUCGUAAAUUGGUUCACCUAGAUAUAAUAACUGAAUCAAGAAUCAAAGAAAUUGUUGAAAAGGUCCAUAGAAGAAGGAGACUGAAUCUUCGAUGGACUACUCUGAAGGAUAGAGUUAAAGUCAUUAAAGAACGACGAAAAACCUUGUGGAUCGGUUGGUCCAAUAGUGGAAAAGAAGUCCGGUGAUACCGACGGCAGAGAAUAAGGUCCCGGCGAUAAAAUCCCAGCAUGGUGAAAACUUGGCCGCUCGAACCCUCGAUUUUGAUGUGGUUGUUCUUGAUGAUGAUGAUGAUAAUAUUGAUCCAUAGUCCCUUCGCCUCCAACAAAUGUCCCUAGUUCGUUUGAGAUAUUAGCCUUCUCUGUAACAGCAAACCGAGCCGCCGGAGAUAUCAACCCAUGAGAUGUAUCAACCAUUGUUGACGUGUCUUUUGGUUCCGACGUGGAUGAAGAGGAGGAGGAUGAUGUUGUGGAGGUAGAGGUUUGACCUGUGAGACGUUGGACCAAUGUCAUGAAGUUAUUAGGGUGUGUAUGGAUAAUUCUGGGAGUUACUGUGUAUAUGUUCACGGGACCAGGUGGGGGCCGAGAUUGCGACGGUUCUUGCUGAUGGGUUUGUGGUGGUUGUGGUUGCGGGUGUGGCGGCGCUAGUGGUGGCUUCUUGAUAAUCUUGUGCGAAUCUCCACGGACUUUCAGUGGUGUUGGUUUCGGACCCAUGUUUCCUCUUGAUCUUGGCGAUCUAUUAUCCAUAGAAUCCACUUUAUGAGAUGAAUAGUAUAUGUAUAUGUGUAUGUGUGAUGAUGAAUUUAGUGAAGAACAAUGAUUAUGUGAUGAUUAGGGGAAGUACUUGUAUAUAUAUAAUUAGAGAAAAAUAAGACAAUUCAAACUCACACAUCGAUAGGUACGGCAAUAUAUAAACCUGUGGACCUCAUGACACACAAAAAAGAAGUACACAAGAUACAUAAUCUGCAACUACAAAGCAUAGAUAAUCUGUUCCAGCAAUGAUGGUCAAACACUCAAAACCUCUUUAACAUAGCAUCAUAUUUAGAAAGAGACGAAAUGAAGGUUUAUUUUCUCAUUAACUUAGAAUAUGAAUGUACAUGUACAUGUUCAUAUACAAGAUAGAAUGUAAAAAACUACCCUACACAAGUAACAAGCUCUCUAUACUACUCUAAUACAUCAAUGUGGUGGGAUACAUACACUUAUCUUUACAGAACCGUUCAACCGCAAACAUAAUUUGAACAAAGUGGAUCAAGACUCCUAUAAACAAUAGUACAGAGCAAUUUUCAAGACAUACAUAUAUACUAAAAGAAGUUCUGAAUAAGAGCCAUACAAAAUGAAACCUAAGAAGAGAAUCAUAUGUUAAUGGUAGCUCCCAUAUAGCUCAUCUUUUUAAGUAAAAUAAGAAAAGGUUUUGUUUUCAUGGCAAAGAGGCAAAAUUUAGACCUAUAACAGAUGAAAAAUCUGUUCAUUAUUCUAUAUAACUAUCAUCACAACAAUGCCCACUAACAUAAGAGCUACAUUGAGAGUUGAUUCCAAGUGUAAAGACAGCUCCUUUCAGGUCUAAUAAUGAAAAUUACACACAGAGCGGAAAAAAAGAAGAAACUUUUAGCUUACGGAAGUCGGAACGGGGACGUUUGGGAGGAAGAACGUGAGGGUUCGACGAAAUUGGAAGCUGAUACUGUCUCUGCUGGUUCCAGUACUCAUCCGCCAUUGACGGCGACGGAAACAACAAAUCGAGAGAUCACAAUUCGAAAAUUAGUAAAUAAAAAUUCCUAAUUUACAGAAUAAGGCAUUCGAUUGCAGUUCUACUUGGUCCCAAUCGAACAAAAAAAUUCUACCCAGCAACUUGCUCGUUCCUCUGUUCAGAUCAAAAUUCUAAUUCGCUCAAUUUCAAUUUCAUCGAGUUUUCUGACUCAUUCUCUUUCGACAACGGAAGUGAAUGAUCCGAAUCUGAGUGACCCGACCCGUUUUGUUUAUAAACCCGGUAUUUCUUCUGGCGCCAAUUUAACAAGUAACGACUAAGUGAGGCCAUGAAUUUUGUCUGGACUAAUAUUUAUGUAAACUCAGUAAAAAUUUGGUAGAAAAUAAGUUUAACUUAAAAACUGGCAGAAAAUGAGUUUAACUUACAAAAAAAAAAGACUUUUUAAGUUUAACUAUUUAAGAUAACUCAUUUUCAACAAAUUUGUAGUGAGUUUACAUAAAUAUUUGUUGUAAGUAAAAAUUUAAGAAAAUUUACAUACAUGUCACCUACUAGUAUGUACAUAGCUUGGGGUUGGAAAGAUAUCAUUCCCCAAUUGCCUGCUCUCAUUCAUGCUUUUCAAACAUCGGAGAUGAACACUCCCAAAAUGAGAAGGUUGUGCAAAUUUACAGCACUACCAGAAGUAAGUCUUAAAAUCGUUUUUAUGUUGUUUAUUGUAUCUUUUAUCCAACACUUAUAGACUCUAACACACAUUGUAUUAUAUAGGCAAUGAAUAACAUAGGCGACAGAUCAGAUGUUUACAGUUUCAGAAUUUUUCUUGGUACUAUAAUAACGGUUAAGGUUUCAUAUGAGACUUUGGAUAGAUUAACGGCUAGACACACAAGCCUUAGGUGUUAUCGGGGUAAGACUUUUCUCCAUCCUUAAAAUAACUCUGACUGUGACAUAAUUGACUAAAUUGUGGUCAUGUGUUCAUUAGGGACAAAGGCCUGAACUUCCAAGCGAGACGAAUCCAAGACUGAAGAAAUUAAUCGAUGAAAUGCUUGGAUGGAGAUGCUAUGUAUAGGCCUCACAUCUAAGAUGUAAGACGUGUUUUGGAGUCGCUUGUCUCAGAAUUAAAUACGCCUACUACACCAACAACAACGCCUCUCCUGGUCACUCCUUCAACAUCAAACUCAACAUCGACACUGGUGUUAAGGGAUCAAUUUGAGGCAUUAUCAGGUGAUCUUGAUUCUUGAGUAAAAACCAGGAAAUAAUUUCACAAAAAGAAAAACAUUAUCCCAAACUUUGAUUUUUUCUAUGCUCACGUAGCUAAGAACGUGUUGAUAUCUCUGUUCUGGCACAUAUACAGUUUUAGUGCCCAAACUUUUUUGUUCUUUACUUCUUUUUCUUCCUGAUCAAUUGUGAACUUUGAGAUUCAGUUGUAUAUUCUAGAAAGUAAAAGGACCAUAUUCUCUUGAUCGUUAACUUUUGGAUUAGAAAACGUCAAUAUAUUAAAAUACAUCAAUAUCUAUUUUGAUAAAUUAUUUAAGAAUAUAACAGUAUAACCAAAAAUCAACGAUUAAUUUGAUAGAAAGAAGUCCGGUUAUAUCAAAUUCAUAGAAAGCGAUGAGAAUUUAACAUGAGAAGAAUAUUUUAGCGAAUCUUGUGAUAAUAUAUGUUAUUGGAAUAUCAGCAUAGUGAUUAGAAUUUUCUUGAAAAGAUAUUAGUAGAAUAUAUACUAGGAUUUGAUAAAUAUAUUAGAAUCUUUAUUUCUAUAGAAGAUUUAUUAGUCGAUAUUAGUGGGAUUUUGUGGAGUGAUGGGAUCAUAUGUUUCCCUAUUUUAUCUAGGGGUUUCUAUCUAUAAAAGGGGAUUGAUCAGAGCAGUCUUUCUCCAUAAUAUAGCCGAUAAUAUGAGUAAGACUUAUAAACCGUUGAAUAAAGAAACCGUGAAGUUACAAGCAAUGCUACAAAGGUACGGGUACUAUGAAAUGGUUCUCACUUCCCUUGAUUCAAAGGUUCAUUAGUCUUACUCGUAUUGUUAGCUAUAUUAAGAGGGAAACUCAAAGAUGUCAACAGAACUCCAGAAGAUGUCGGCCAAGAAAGUUCAGGAAGUUGUAACAUCAGCAACAAAGCAAUCUGCUAAUUGAAUCAAGUGGUGCCAAAGAGGCCAUAAAAUCCUUAAAAAGUGCCGGUAAUCGUUUAUUAUAUUGGUAGACAAACUCAAAAUAACUUUGCAUCUUCUGCUGUUUAAAGCUCAAGGAUAUAGCACAUAAGUUACCUCUCUUGCAAUGCGUUAUUGGCCUUGAUAGUAUUUUCCAUAUUAAUCUCACCGUCACUGUUUUGUCCUUAAGCAGUAGUUAAGCUCUUCAUUUUCUCUCAUGAAUUGUUUCUUUUUUUGGCGACAAAAGUCAAUUACACAUGUGAAACUACUUUCAUUUAGUCCACUGAAUGAUUUAAUCGAUCUAUUUUUGGAUUUCAAAUCACACGCAUAGUAGGUUCAAGAAUAUUAAUAUACUAACAAAAACCAAUUUACCUACAAACCCAAAAGUUAGAACUUAGAAGAUUAUACAAAUAGAAUUAAUCUAAUGCCCACUAUUGGAUAAGUUGAUGAGCACAUAGCAGUUAAGGAGGGACAAGAUUCAUUGAACAUAAACUUUAAAGUAUAUGUGGGAAGCCCACCAAACAAGAAUACACAUAUCAUCAAAUUGCCAAAUUGAUGUAAACAAAUGACGCAAUCAUCACGAAAUGCAUAAGUAGAAACCCUCUAACUGCAUCGGAGUGUCUCCAAAAAAAUGAUGAAAAAACGUAAAACAUAUCCUCUUUUUUUUCCUAACACUCGUAAAUUAGUUCACCUAGAUAUAAUAACUGAAUCAAGAAUCAAAGAAAUUGUUGAAAAGGUCCAUAGAAGAAGGAGACUGAAUCUUCGAUGGACUACUCUGAAGGAUAGAGUUAAAGUCAUUAAAGAACGACGAAAAACCUUGUGGAUCGGUUGGUCCAAUAGUGGAAAAGAAGUCCGGUGAUACCGACGGCAGAGAAUUAGGUCCCGGCGAUAAAAUCCCAGCAUGGUGGAAACUUGGCCGCUCGAACCCUUGAUUUUGAUGUUGUUGUUCUUGAUGAUGAUGAUGAUGAUGAUAAUGAUAAUAUUGAUCCAUAGUCCCUUCGCCUCCAACAAAUGUCCCUAGUUCGUUUGAGAUAUUAGCCUUCUCUGUAACAGCAAACCGAGCCGCCGGAGAUAUCAACCCAUGAGAUGUAUCAACCAUUGUUGACGCGUCUUUUGGUGCUGACGUAGAUGAAGAAUAGGAGGAGGAUGUUGUGGAGGUGGAGGUUUUACCUGUGAGACGUUGGACCAAUGUCAUGAAGUUAUUAGGGUGUGUAUGGAUAAUCCUGGGAGAUACUGUGUAUAUAAUCACGGGACCAGGUGGCGGCCGCGAUUGUGACGGUUCUUGCUGAUGGGUUUGUGGUGGUUGUGGUUGCGGGUGUGGCGGCGCUAGUGGUGGCUUCUUGAUGAUCUUGUGCGAAUCUCCACGGACUUUCAAUGGUAUUGGUCUCGGACCCAAGAUUCCUCUUGAUCUUGGCGAUCUAUUAUCCAUAGAAUCCACUUAAUGAGAUGAAUAGUAUAUGUGUAUGUGUGUGCGUGAUGAUGAAUUUAGUGAAGAACAAUGAUUAUGUGAUGAUUAGGGGAAAAGGCAGGGUACAUGAGUACUUGUAUAUAUAUGAUUUGUGUGUAUUAAAGAAGGAUAGAGAAAAGUCAAAUGAAGGAAGGAGAGUAAACCUACUUAAAAAGUGGUAAACUUUGGCUACUUGUUUGUUUGUAUUGAUUAUUAUAUCUUUUUAUGUAUGUUUCUUCUAGUAUGUUUCUUACCAAGAUUUGGUUUGGUUUACCCAAGAUUAAAAGUUUUCUAGUCGUGAGAAAAGACUCGCUAUUAACUACGACUUCCAACUUUUAUUAUUUAGUUUUCGUACCUCAAUUUAUUCUCGUUUGUGGUUAAUAUAAUUUGAUGAGAUAGAUACAUCUAGGUGGUGCUCACGUUGUUGUAUUUUUUUCUUUAAUAAAAAAAAAUUUAGAGGUGAAGUUACUGUUUAUAAGAUAGAGACAUAAAUUACGAAAAAAAAAAAAAAAUCGGAUACUUAUUUUUGUUUGCAUCUUAAUGGACUUAAAGGUUGAAUAUUUCCAGUCUAGAGGAAGUCAAAAGCGUAGAAGAGGUCAUAAGUGCCACGUCAGAUAAUUGGUAGCUGACUUGGCAUGAUUUUGUAGAGAGCUCCAACACGGUUCUUCUGAUCCAGACAUGACCCUGUGUCUGUGGACCAUAAUCAACACAAAUUUUGCCUUUGUCAAACAAUAUUUAUUCAAUAAAAACACAAAACUAGAUGUGGUCAGAAGUUUAAUAAUAUGUUUUCAAUAUUAACUGAUAUCUAUUGGCCUUUUUAAAAUCUAAAAUGAAUUUCGAGUUAUUGAAAUACUAUAAACAUGUCUGACAUUUAGUAGUUUUAGUGGUCAGGAAUGUCCACUUUGUAACUGAUUUUUUCUGUUCAAGGGUAUAUAUCACGGUUAUUAAAAAAAUUUAAAACUAUGUGACGUGAAAAUGUCAGAAAUAUAAUUGUGCUACGGCCACGAAAAUACGUUAUAUUGUCAUAAAUUUCAUAAUAGUGAUAAGGCCCACGUACUCUCGACCAACUCAAUUUUUCAUUUAUACGAAAAAAGCUCAAUAUCAUGGCUUCUUUGUCCAGAGACCAGAGGUUUUUGUCUCACGACACACACUCAAUGCGCCAUUCUUGCGCGUGGGUUCACGUUUUGUAGUCUCAGAGAAACAGAGCUUUUUUUUACAGUUAGCUGAAUCGCUACAUAACAAAAUUAAUCAAAACAUCACUACAAAGUCUUGAAGCGUUCGAUAAUAAUCUUUUGUGUUUGGGAGAUUAACAUAGUACAAAUUUAAAUCAUGAUAAUCUGAAAAAGGGCUUACUUGCGAUGUUGCUGGACGCGGGAACAGUAAUACAUGAGGGGAGAAAAAGUCUUUUGUGUUUGGUUUUGAGUCUAUUUUUUGGUCAAACUCGAAUCUCCAAAUGACAUGAAAUCCAUCUAUUUUCUUACUUAUUGCUCGAAAGUGAUUGGUCUUUCAAAGUCUCCCUAGAUUCUUCCAUUUAUGUAUAUUUUUUUGGUACAUUAGCCUAUAAUUAUAAUUUUUGCUGAACAACGAUUAGCGACAUUAUUUGCUAUCAAUUAGCUUCGGAUGCGAGUGAACGCGUA